UCUAAUCUGCUGCCCUCCCCCUUUCUUCCCCAAUUUUUCUUUUUUCUUUCUUUCUUCGUCUGCUUGUCCUUCUCUUCUUUUCUUUCUUCUUCUUUCUUCGUCCUCUUCUUCUUCUCUUCUUCUAAUUUUCCCGGCCGUCGUCGCUACUCUUCCUCUGCUGAUCGUCGUUGCUCGCUUUAUCCCCGCCCCAACGUCCCGUUGAAGUGAGGGCUUUAGGUGCGAUCACAGGAACACCUCUCCGGCGUCGACCCAUCAGCCACACGGAUAGGGACGAUAAGCAAAGAACAUGAUCUGAUGUAUGAGAAGCUGUUAACCAGUGGGUGAUAAGUGUGAAAGAUUUGUAGUGUUUCACAUUAUAGAAUGUCCUCUAGGAGGAAUAUGAUAGUUAUGAUCCCAAAAGAUAUGGUCCAUUGUCAUUGCCAUUUUUGAAGAAAAGGGCAAAAGUUAUAGAGAUAGUUGCUGCCCAUGAUAUUGUUUCUACUCUUGCACAAUCGGGUGUCUGCAGCAUUUAGUAGAGGUGACACACUUUCCCUUAUCAAGGUCUUUGUUACAUCCGCCUCAGUUCCGGACACACUCCUUAUUUUUUUGACCAUUAUUGGAGCGACUACCAUUCACAAUGUUGUCGGUGAAGAUCCUAUUGAGUGGAACUACAAGGAUCUCAUGCGCCACCCCUGAAGCAUAUCAAACGAUUCCUUAAUGUUUUACCCCGCUUGCCGUAUGGAUUGCAUGCCGUAGGUGUGUUUGGAUAGUAGGUUGUAAUUGCUAUGUGAACUAGCUAUGGAUUAGAUUCAUAGACAUUUGAAGUUAUCUUUUGUGUGGUGAAAAUUGUGUUUAUGGAUUGAUGGAUAUCCCUAUUUGCUUAUUACUAGGUUGAAUGUUUGAAAUGCUUGCAUUUUGCGGAACAUAAUGUCGUAGCAGAGAUGUUGCUCUUGUUUGAUGGGUUACUUUAUUUUUUAUUAGGUGAUGGACAUCAAUUCAUAAAUACCAUUAUAUUACUAUUCUA